GAGCAACUGGCUUCACCUCUCUGAGCCUUUAUUUCCCACAUCUGCAAAGUGGUGCACAGUAAUACCCACGUUCCUGGCUCUGUGUAAGGAGCCAUGAGAGUGUAUUUAAAGGGCCCAGCACCCAGCUGCUCUCAGUAGAUGCUCAAGAGACAGUAACAACCCUAUCGUUAUAUGAGGUUCAAUGCAACUCAUCUGAUUCCCCUUCCAGUGGCUGGAGAACAUCCCACCUUCUGAGCCUUGGGGAGAAGCAGAGUGUGCCCUUUCCCUGCCCACUGGAGAAGCUGAAACAACAAAAACUCCCUUCCCUGGCCUCCCUGCAGUAAGUCAAAGAUGGUGUCGAAAAUGGUGAAAUCAAGAACUAGUGCUUAGAAUUAUGGAGAUUUAAAAACAGAAGAGACACCUCCCAGAGUUGCAAGUGGUCGCCUGUCCCAGAGAGCUGGUGAGAUGAGGUGGGGAGGUGGCAGCUGAGUUUUAUGGUGAGAAAGUGGAGUUCGAAGAUGUCAUCAGCCCAGGUCACACAGAUGGUGGAGACCAGUGUGGAGCCCGGGAGUGGGCUGAGCAGAGCAUCUGGACUUUGAGCUUCCAUCAGACCCUGAGAUAGUCACCUGUCCUGGCUGCCUGGUGACCCUGGUGUGCUAACGUGGCACUUAUCUUGCUCUAUGGAGGCCCCUGGGCCCCCUAAACACCAGGUGGGUGCCUUCAGCCAGCCCCAUACUGACCUGUGAAGCCCAGGUAUUGCUGGCCAACCCACCCCACUCACAGACAGAAGCAGUUCUCCAUCUUUUGGCUUUAGCAGAUCUGCUUCAUUUCUCCUCCCCACAAAGCCUGGACUUUGUUCUGGGGGUAUCCCUGUUUGCAGUGAAGCUUUUUCACUCAGUGCUCAAUCUGAGCCCAACUCCACCCCACAUCUCUGAUUCAUAGACUUUUGUGACUGCCUUGACCAGUAGAGUAUGGCAGAAGAUGCUCUGUAACUUCCCAGGCUAGAUCUAGAAAAUGCCACGCAUUUCUGCCUUGCUCUCCUGCGACAUCCACUCUUAGAACCCAGUUGCUGUGCUAAAAAGAACUCACAGACCACGUGGAGUGGAGCAGAUGGGUCAGUGUCCCAGGUGGCAGCCCGUGUCGGCCUCAGACCUGCACGUGAGGAUGCCCACCAGAGGGUUCCUGCCACCACCGUCAAGUCACCCCAGCCUUAAUCUUCCAGCCGGCGCCUCAGGCAUUAUGGGCAGAGGUAAACUGUCUCCAUGAUGCCCUUUCCAAAUUUCUGACCCACAGAAUCCAUGGCUAUAAUAAAAUGGCUGUCUUAUGUG
rnacentral:lncRNA from 1 species